rnacentral:antisense_RNA from 1 species
ACGGCAAAGCUUUAUUGCUUACAUCUUUAUCGGGCCAGAGUGUAAGAAGCAAGAGAGCGCAAGAAGCAAGAGAGAGAGAAAAACGAAACCCCUUCUAUUUUAAAGAGAACAACCAUUGCCUAGGGCGCAUCACUCCCUGAUUGGCUGCAGCCCAUGGCCGGGCUGACGUUCACGGGAAAAACAGAGUACAAGUGGUCGUAAAUACCCUUGGCUCAUGCGCAGAUUAUUUGUUUACCAACUUAGAACACAGGAUGUCAGCGCCAUCUUGUGACGGCGAAUGUGGGGGCGGCUUCCCACACUCCAGAGUGCUUGUCAGAAG